rnacentral:rRNA from 1 species
UACGUAGGGUGCAAGCGUUGUCCGGAAUUAUUGGGCGUAAAGAGCUCGUAGGUGGUUCGGCAAGUCAGUUGUGAAAUCUCCGCGCUCAACGCGGAGGGGUCAGCUGAAACUGCUGUGACUUGAGUCUGGUAGGGGAGUGUGGAAUUCCCGGUGUAGCGGUGAAAUGCGCAGAUAUCGGGAGGAACACCAGUGGCGAAGGCGGCACUCUGGGCCAGUACUGACACUGAGGAGCGAAAGCGUGGGGAGCGAACAGG